CUAAGUAGGCACUACACAUACUCGUAAAUACAAAAAUGCAUCAAAGUACGAGUAUAAUAAUUCGAAUAACGCGUCUAUGAGAAAUGCUUGCGAUCACGCAUGCGGGCUCUGUCGUUGGUCUCAUUAAACCUUGAAAUUUUACAAUAAUUUAUCAUCGUAUAAUAUGCAAUACAGACUAUACACACGUAGGCAUCGUUUUAAAUUCGGUUAAUAUAGGAAUUCACACCUUACUAUAAGUACAUCGUGACAGUUGAUUAAAAAAAUACCUAUUUAUUUCAUAAGCAUGAUGAGCAACAGUUGGGUUGUGCACCUGACCUGAAGUGACGUAGAUUCGAAAGCUUUUUUCUAAUUACCCACUUGUUGAUCUUUUUCUUUACUUAAUUUUGGCCGCAUUGUAAGUAUGUAUUUUUUUUUUUUUGGUUAUUUUUUUCCUGGAAUCUAAUCGAGUUAUGAAGGUUGUGUUUCGUUUGCAAUGACGCAUGUAUUAAAAAAUACAAACUAUAUAACUUACAAGCAUACCCCUUCUGUAUGGCGACUAAAAAUUUUAAAAAAUAAUAAUUUUUAACUCUAUUUUUUCUUAAUAAGAGUAGGUAUUUUGCAGGGUUCCAAAACGUCAGAGGAAAUGAUGAACAUUUCGAAUACAUAGGUAGGUAUUGUAUGUUUACUGUUUUAUUUGACUGAGAAUUAUCAUUUCUAAAAGUUAUAGUUUGCUGUCAUAAUCACCGGAUGUUCUGAAAAUUAAUUGCUCCUCGCAGAAUAAUUCUAAUACAUACCUAUGAGGUGAGUAACUAAGUAGAUGAAGAACAAACUCGAUUAUUUGAAUAAUGUAAGUAUACCUAUGUAGUCUUGAAAUAAAGAGUUCAAGGAUUAAAAUUUAUAUUAAUCGAAA